AUCCUAUUUUAUUGAUAUUUGAUAAGAUGAGACCUUUUAUUUGUGUAGUGUUAUCUUGGCAUAGGCCUCCUAAAUGGCAUUCGCCUAUACAGCAGUCUAGGAAGAAACCAAGAGAGAGAAGCUCUGAGAAUUCGUGGGGGGUGAUGGAGAAACCCCAUCGCCGUCAGCAUCUCGCUCUCCUGAAGCGUCGCUGGCUGUCACAGAGGCUCCCCAGUCGUCGGUCCCUCCGUCGGCUACUCCGUCUACGCUCGCGGCUCCCCACCUAGCUUCGCCCGCUAUUUCUAAGGUUCCCCGAUCUUCCGCCCUUUCUCUCGCUAGAGAAGAUGCUGGUGAGCGCAUGUCUCACAGUCAUCCGUCCGUUGGGGGCGCGGGGUAAUCGGCGCAGUUGAAUGCUGCUAGAGCGGUGGCGCCUAACGGCGGUGAAACUGCUCAACCGAUUGCUGCUGGUGCGAGGGAAUCGGCACUGCCUUUCGGUCCUCUGUCCGCCGGGGGCACGGGAGAACCUCCUCAUCCGAUUCCUGCUGGCACGGUGGUGAAGGUGAAGGUAAAAGGGUAUCUUGGACGGACCUGCUUGCUGGCCAUUCUAAGGAUACCGUUUCUUACUCAUUUCUUUCGACGUUUGCUUUUGAUUGCAUCAAGAUCUCCCCCAAUGUUAGAUACGAUGAGAAGAUUAUGAGGCAGUGGAGGCAGCCCUGGGACUUCAACCUUGUGGAAAAGUUUCUCCUCCACUGCACAUCUUGAGGGACUUUGUUUCCAAAACGUGGAAAGUCUCUUCGAUGCCUCUAGUUUUGGAUUUAGCCAAUGACUUCUUUCUGUUUCGUUUUCAAUCUGAAGUGGAUAUGAUUUCAGUGCUUACUUCUGAUC